rnacentral:rRNA from 1 species
GACGAACGCUGGCGGCGUGCCUAAUACAUGCAAGUUGAGCGCUGCAGGCUGGUACUUGUACCAACUGGAUGAGCAGCGAACGGGUGAGUAACGCGUGGGGAAUCUGCCUUUGAGCGGGGGACAACAUUUGGAAACGAAUGCUAAUACCGCAUAAAAACUUUAAACACAAGUUUUAAGUGUGAAAGAUGCAAUUGCAUCACUCAAAGAUGAUCCCGCGUUGUAUUAGCUAGUUGGUGAGGUAAAGGCUCACGAAGGCGAUGAUACAUAGCCGACCUGAGAGGGGGAGCGGCCAAAUUGGGACUGGGACACGGCCCAAACUACUACGGGAGGCAGCCGUAGGGAAUCCUUGGAGAUGGAAGAAAGGCUGAACGAGCAACGACGCGCGAGUGAAGAAGGUUUUCGGGUCGUAAAACUCUGUUGGUAGAGAAGAAUGUUGGUGAGAGUGGAAAGCGCAUCAAGUGACGGUAACUACCCAGAAAGGGACGGCUAACUACGUG